AUGGUCGAAACCAAAAACGAGGGUAGA
rnacentral:sRNA from 1 species